AAAGAAAAAAAGGAAUAUGGAGCCCAGGUCUAGGUCAUUCUGCCAAUAAAGGAGGGAGAUUUGCAGUCAGAGAAGUGCCUGGAAAUUACAAAAGACCUCAGCAACAUCUGUGACAAAGUGGCCACUGGGGCCAAGAGCUACUGCACUUGACAGUGACCACUGUUUCCAGCACUCUGAAAUAUUCCCUCCAUGUGGCUGGAGCUCUGAGAAAGGCUUUGCUGUGUGUUUGGGGAGCUGUCCCAGACAGAUGGCACAGGUUGGCUGAGACUGCCAAAACUGGAUGGGGACCAGCUUCUUGCAAGGAGUGCAGAUCUUGCAGUCUAAUGAGCUGAUCUUGGCUCCCUGGAAGACUGACUGUGUGGCCAAAGCAAGGAUUGCCUUUCUGGGCUUCAUGACACCACUCUCCAGGAGCAGGGGUAUUAAAUCAUUAGACUGCCUUUGCAUAAGCAUCAUUUGGGCCUUGCUUAAGCUUCCCCUGAGCCAGUUUACUGUCACCUUCUCAAGCCAUUACAAUUUCCCACCCUGGCCAAACUCAGCCCUUUCGCCACAGUUCCGCAUUAAGCAAGGCUUCCAAAUCCACGUCACUUUGAAUUUGAAAUGGCAGUAAGUGACACAAAUUGAUGAUACAUCAAACUCUAGUUCUUGGUGUGGGCCAAUUCCUAAUUCAAAAUAGGAAUGUCCCCAAAAUCUCAUUCUCUUUUAUAAAAAAACUCACAAGACUUUCCUAACUGGGAACAGAAGUGCUGUUGGAAACUACUAUUAAGCCAAUUUUGUAGUAAGUAAAUAGUCAAAAGACAGAGAAAGUGGCCAAAACCAUUUUUCUCCCAUUCAGAAACUACAUCUGUUAUAAUACUAUUAGGGCAGCACAACACAUUAAAGAGCUAAGGAACUCACUCUACUGUGGAUACACUCCCUUUCCUAAUCCACCACAGGCAUCAUCCCCCUUGAAAUAAAAUGAUGGAAUCAAUUCCAUCAUUUAGCUUCUUUGGGGAGAGCAAAUGUUUUUCCCCACCGUGCAGCAAUGUCUUCACUUACUGUAUGCUUUCUCAUUGAGGUACAAAGUGCUUCAUGUACAAGUUUGAUUUAGGAAUCCCAUAAACUCUGUAGUGCUAGAAGAGCACGUGGAGCAAAAAUCAUUGUAACAAGGACUUUGCUCUCAGUUUUGUUAGUUAAGCACACUUUGCUGGGCAGUGUUAGGGAAGGCUGUUGGACUACAAAGACCUUCUAUGUGACACAGAAUGGCUGCUAUUAUAUAAUCACGUCACAUCCAGUGACAAUUGACAUGGUCCAUGGAAUUCAGGUGGUGGGCUGUGUGCCUUGCUUUUUAAUGAGACCUUGUUAGAUCUGAAUUUCCAGUCCUUAUAUUGGGUAUGUUAAUUGGAAAACUGUUUAGAAAUGCUGUGACAUGAUAAGGACCACAAGUCUAGGCAAGACCUUAGAGCUUAUUCAAUUUGCUGUUAUUUGUGGACGCAUGUCAACCCCACUGCACUCUCUGUUCUAUCAUCUCUGCUUUG